rnacentral:rRNA from 1 species
CCGCGUGCGGAAGAAGGCCUUCGGGUUGUAAACCGCUUUUGUCAGGGAAGAAGCGGUCUGGGUUAAUGCCCUGGGCUAAUGACGGUACCUGAAGAAUAAGCACCGGCUAACUACGUG